UCCCUGAUGGUCCAGUGGUUAGGACUCCAUGUUUUCACUACCAGGGCCCGGGUUCAACCUCUGGUCAGGGAA
rfam:TPA: Bos taurus chromosome 10, whole genome shotgun sequence.